UCCUUUGGUCGUGGGCUCGUCGCCCUGAGCCCCUGACCAGUUCUUCCCUGACUCUUCCAAAACCUAGCCCUCAACCCCAACCACGCCGCCGCCGCCACCAACCACUCGACCGCAGCGCCGGCUUCGUCCCCAAACACAGACGCCGCCGACCGCCUAGUCGUCGCCGAGCACCCUUCUCUAACAAGGAAACCCUUCGUCGGUUCGUCCCCAUCCCCCGCGCACCCAGCGCCUGCUUUCUCUCGAGGAAAGCCGUCGUCCGCCCUCCAUCCCCACCACAAUAACGACCUCCUCCACAGGUUUCCUCCGCCGAGCAGGCCUCCUCCUACUCCUCAAGCUUUCUCCCCCGAGCAGGGCCUCCUCCUCCACGAGCAUCCUUCCCUGAGCACUAAGUUGGGGUCGCCUCCUGUUUCCCUCACCCGAGCAGCGGGCCUUCCUGUACGGCCCCCCUCCCGAGAAGCUCCACCUCCUCUACAUCCUCCCCCAGGUGCAGCGCCGCCUCCUUGCUCACCGAGAGCACUUGGCCGCUCUGAAGAUAACGACUAGCUUUGUCAUCCGAUAAACCAAGUUUUGCUUAUGGUGAAGAGAUCUUCCAUUGCAGCAAAUGGAUGCUUCAAGCCUUCAACUACAUACUAAAUCAGUGAAUCCCAGUAGGGGUACUACAUGCAAGCUUUGGGAAAUUAAGUUUCAAGCUGAGAGUGACUUAUAAGUUCAUGGCAAAAGCAGCAACACGAGUACGCAACCACAAGCAAGCUGAGGAGGUAAUAAUCUUGGUAGUUAAGUCUUUGAUUCAGUAUUUUGCUUUUGGAUACAUGUUUGCUGCUAUUUCAGAACAAUGAAACUUAUUUAGCAUUUCGUUUCUUAUAUGCUUCAUGCAAAUAAAACUGCAGUAAACAUAUGAACCGAGAUUUUGCUUGGCAUGUGUAUGUACGCAUGCGAUGAAUUUGCUUAGCAUUUUUAUGCAUACAACUAUUGGAAGCUUUUACAUGUCCUGGAACUGAGCUUUUGCAUGCCCUGUGUUUUCUGAAGCUGAGUCUUUUGUUAUUGGGUUGUACUUGCAACAGAGUCACAGGCUCCUGCCAUAUAACCAUUUAUGAAUUGCAUAUGUGAUGCCUUAAUUAAAGUCUUCUUCUAUGAGCCUCUACCUUGUGCAAAUAAUAUGAUUAUUUAGCAGCCUGGUUUCAUAGCUUUGAAUCUCAUGUGAAUAAACUAUAUGUCUAGGUGUUAGAUGUUCUUUGCUUAACUAGAUAUCGAAGUAUAAACAACAAGCUCAUGUACAAGAUGGCAAUUAUGAUGGCUAUUUAGUUUAUUUCAUUGAUUCUCGGCAUAUUAAUUGAUUGUAACGUCCUAGCUUUAUUUAAGGAGAUGUAAAAGAAACAAGUAAUCUCCCUUUUCCUUUCUUUUACAAUUGUCAUAAUUUUAUAUGACCUUUUUUAGUCAAUCUGUUGUCGAUGGUCUGAAUUUUUAGAUAAUUUAAAUUUGUGAUGAAUUCUCAAAUUGAUUAGGAAGACUGGAUUUGUAAAACUUUGCUUAUAUCCUUCAAAUAACUUGAACUAACUAUUUUCUCUGCAGUUACAUAUAUGCAUAUCUUAUGCUCAUUUCACCAAAGUUUGGCCAACCUUUUGGUGUCUAUUAUUUGUGUACGUUUCAUCGCUUUAGAAGUAAUAUUCAAUCCAAAGCUUUUCUUUAAUAGAGCAAUUCAGCUAGUAUGUUUGCAAGCAAAUUUAUGCCAGGACAAGUACUAGUAGUGGAGCCAAGAACAUAUUAGGGCACGAUGGUUAAUGGAUUAUUCACGCAGGUUCCUGUCAAACUUUGCUAUCAAUUUAUUGCCAUAUCCUCCGGCAUGCAAAUUCGCUCAAAGUCAUUUAAAAUCUGGGAGUUUCCAGGGAACACAUAUGGAACUGGGAUAUAUGGGUUUCUACAAGUUUUGCGCUUCAUAUUUCAACUAGUUCCAGUCAAAGCCAAUUUCAUGUUUCUGGUUACAAGAAAAAUCAGUUAACACUUAACUAGGUUUAAACAAGUUUCUUCAUACAAACAGAUUUCUGGUUAUCAGCAAAAUCAGUUAGCACUUAAGUAGAUUUCAGCUAGUUUCAUAUAGGUGUUGUUUUGCAAUAUGCUUGACCAAGGCCACCAUAGUUACUAUGAAUGUCUACAUUCAGUUAAACCUAAGAUACACCCUUUGUUCUCAGGAUUUUGUUAGCAGCUUGUUAAUAAUGCACUUGCCUCUAAAUUGUCAGUUACCUCUGAGUUGAUACAUUUUACUGUCUCGAGAUUCUUUUGGCGUCCCUGAACAGUUUCCGCUGAUCCAAAUUAUCAUCCCUCAUGUUAUGGGCCUCAAAGAGUAGCUGAAAGACUCAUUUAAGCUGCAAGUGGAUAAGUCUAGCAAAUGCAGUAAUGUGACCACAAGCCAGUUGAGGAGGUUUCUCAAGAUACACAAGUUGUUGGAGGUUUGGAAGAUCUACAAGUUGCUGGAGGUUUUGAAGGUCUGACAAGUUGCUGGAGUGAUGAUAUAUAUGUAAUAUGUCUUGUUUGUCGAACCUCCAUAUAUUGACAAGUUUUACACUGGUCAUUUUGGUGGUUGUUUCAGCAGACAAGCCAUUGUAUGCCAAUUUUGGUUGUGUGGCACGAUUUCUUUACCUUAAACAUAUGUACUUUGCAUUUUGAGGCAUAAUGUCUAUAUAUGUAUGGUUCAUGCAUGUGUUAAAAACA